rnacentral:rRNA from 1 species
GAUGAACGCUGGCGGCGUGCCUAAUACAUGCAAGUCGAGCGAACGGACGAGAAGCUUGCUUCUCUGAUGUUAGCGGCGGACGGGUGAGUAACACGUGGAUAACCUACCUAUAAGACUGGGAUAACUUCGGGAAACCGGAGCUAAUACCGGAUAAUAUUUUGAACCGCAUGGAUCAAAAGUGAAAGACGGUCUUGCUGUCACUUAUAGAUGGAUCCGCGCUGCAUUAGCUGGUUGGUAAGGUAACGGCUUACCAAGGCAACGAUGCGUAGCCGACCGGAGAGGGUGAUCGGCCACACUGGAACUGAGACACGGUCCAGACUCCUACGGGAGGCAGCAGUAGGGAAUCUUCCGCAAUGGGCGAAAGCCUGACGGAGCAACGCCGCGUGGGUGAUGAAGGUCUUCGGAUCGUAAAACUCUGUUAUUAGGGAAGAACAUAUGUGUAAGUAACUGUGCACAUCUUGACGGUACCUAAUCAGAAAGCCCCGGCUAACUACGUG